rnacentral:rRNA from 1 species
GACGAACGCUGGCGGCGUGCUUAACACAUGCAAGUCGAACGGAAAGGCCCUGUUCUUGUGGCGUGCUCGAGUGGCGAACGGGUGAGUGUCACGUGAGUAACCUCUCCCUUACUGUGGGAUAACUUCAGGAAACUCGGGUUCAUACCGCAUAUGAGCUCCUGCUGCAUGGUGUUGGUUGUAAAGUUUCGGCGGUUGGGGAUGCACGCGCGGUCUAUCAGCUUGUUGGUGGGGUGGUGGAUUACCACGGCAUUGACGGGUUGCCGGCCUGAGAGGGUGACCGGCCACAUAGGGACUGAGAUGGGAGCCGGACGGCUACGGGAGGCAGCAGUGGGGAAUAUUGCGCAAUGGGCGGAGGGCUGAUGCAGCAACGCCGCGUGCGGGAUGACGGCCUUCGGGUUGGAACCCGGUUGCGCCUGUGAAGAAGAGUGAGUGACGGUAAUGGGUAAAGAAGCACCGGCUAACUACGUG